UUCUCUAGUAACAUAAGUCAUAAUGCCUUCCCAAUAGAACUGAGUAUCUCUAUGUCCUGGAGUCACACUGAGCCUUGGCCGGACCUAGUCGGCUUUGGGCAUCGGUGCCAACGUGGGUAGCAGCCGCUGAGUCAAGCGAUUUGGAUGACCGAGCGGCUGGAGUGGCAGAGCAGAGCUGCCAUGUGACUCGGUUUGCUGGCAGAGAGCUCACCUCACUUCCACUCCCGAGGCCUGGACCAAACCAGGCAUGGUGCCACUGGCCUGUGAUCCCAGAAUCCAGGAGGUGAAGGCAGGAGGAUUAGAAGUUAAAGCUUGUCUUUGGCUGUGAGUUCAAGGCCAUCCCGGAGGGCUAGCUGAUGACUAGAGGAAGAAACUGUGGAACACAGAAACCAUGAUAGGCACACGGACAUGAAAAAGAAGGGACUCUGCCAGUUACAACAGGAUGGAUGAAACAGAAGGACACUCGCGUAAGAGAGCCAUGCGCCGAAAGGGAAGCUUCACAUGCUGUACAUAGGCAACGUCUAAGUUUGUCCCACCAUGAGGAAAACAGAUGAACGAGGUCAUCCCUUCUUUUGAAGGAGACAGGGAAACUCACUGGUGCCAUCGGAACUCUGAAAACGCCAAGAAUUCUGAGAAUGAAGAAAACCCAACGUGAUACCCACCCUAAACCACCAGUUACACAAUUGUCUCAAGACUCCGAGAUAAUCUAGGUUCAAUCAAGUUUAUUUAUUGGACCUCAUCAUUACAUAUAUCUGGAAGCCCAGUUCUCUAACACAGUCCAAGAGAUGAGAUGAUAAUCUGGAGACCUUAUUUGCAGUAGGGUGGGACAGUCUUGUGUCUGGUCUCUUAAAACAAGCAACAUGACUUUAUGAUCGAGGGAGCAGUGCCCUUGACCAUCAACCAUAUGGGGAAAAAAAUCAAGCUCAUGGAAGCCAUGUAAACUUGUUAAAGGCCUUUGCCAAGCGAUUUGUAGAUUUCCCCACGUUUUCACAUGUAUGCAAACAGACAAGGGCAAACUAAUAGUAACACAAUUUUCUUUGUGACUGAAGAGAGAGGCAAGAAGUAAGAUGGUUAAAACUAGGCAAGUCGCACCCAUCCCCCACUGCAUCCCCCACCACUACCAAUUUCACAAGGCCACCCUUCCCUGACCAGUCUUCAUCUUCUGUCUUCCCUUCCCCAGAUAAAAUCACCACACAUUCUUUAAUAAUGCCACCACUAUCCUUCAUACAAAUUCCAAAGGGAUCAAGGCCAAGGGUAGCAGUGGCCUUGUGAUUUACUACUACUGACCUGAGUUUGGCUCUUGAGUGUAUCAGACAGGUGUAGAAAUGAAAAAGAAGAGGAAAAAGAAAGAAGAGCUCCGGUUGACAAUGAAAGUGCUUCCUGGAGUUCUCCUGCAAGUGAAAGGCAAGUUCUGUUUGCCAUCAGUAGAACAUUUGACACCAAGCAGGGUGUCCCAGCACCAUGAGUCACUCAUCAAUCUCGACAUCUUUAAAUAGAAACAAAACGAUUAGUCACUGGUUCAGAACUAUCUACUAGUGACUGAAGAUAGAUGGUUAAGGUAGCUGAAUGUGAGGCAGUUUUCAUACUCAGCGAAGGGAGCACAGGACAAUCCGUAGGCGGGUCAGGGGAACUGCAAGAUAAAGACCUCUGGUUUGGUCUAACACUUAUCCUUACCCUUUAGGGGCUAAAAAUAGCUUCAAUGUGUAAAGAGUGCCUAUGUCUACUCACCUUUCUUUCAUGGCCUGUUAUCUGGGAGAGUUUACCCAACUCUGGUGUCCACGCUCCAGUAGCCUUGUCUUCUCCUCCUCCACUUCAAGUUCUAUAUGAUUUCUAUUUGUUCUCUCAUCUCCAGAACAGGCCCUGCCAAGAAACCAUGGUUCAAUUUAUGCUAUUUUCUCAUUUUCCUGCCCGCCCGCCCUCUCCUGUGCAAAGGACACUCACAGCCCCUUUGAGUGUACCACGGUCGGUGAUACGUCCAUGAUCUCUGAUGCCCUUUCUUUAUGUAUAGAGACAUGCACUUCUCUGUCUCAAAGGCCUGUGCCUAAUUCAGAUCACAGUGAUCAUAGAUCCUGGGAGUUCAGGAGAACCUUGUGUGUAGACACGACACAGUCCACUGAUGGUGUGCACUUCAGCAGACACAAAAGUGAUGGGAAAUCUGUAUGUGAUGUCACAGAGCUGUUGUCAUCCAUGAGUGGACACUGGCUAGUUAUUGGUCUUUUUUGUUUAGAACAGUUAUGUAAAAUAUAUUGUCUGACACGAUAUAGUAGUAAAGAUUGCCACAUAUUUUAGCAAUAAUAUUAAGCAUUGAGUAAGACCUGCUCAGUCACGAACUACUCUUGUUUCAUAGCAACUGUAAUUAUUACCACCAAUAAUGUCAUUUAAUAACCAAUGUGCAUUUAUGUGUACUUGAUGGCGUGUUAAGUAUUUCACGCGUAUUUUCUCAUUUAAUAUUACUAAUAAGCCCAAAGGGCUGUUGUUCUGACUUCUACCUAUCUUUUCUGGAUGAAGAAAAGCUAUGUACGUAGAGUUGAAACAAAACACCAUGGGUUUGUUCUUUGAAAACUCACAGGACAGAGAGCAAGGUAAAGCCCCACCACCACCACAGAGCCUGUCCUCCAAAUCUCUGGCACCUGGAGAAAGAGGCAAAGCACGCCCUGGGGAGUGAUUCCAGGGCUUAGGGACUUUGCACUGGGUGAAAGGCACUUAGAGCUAGAAAUAGUGUCUGUGAGACUUGUACACAUUUAACCUGAACCGACAUUGUGCUAUACCUCCGAGCAUGCAAACUUCCAUAGCUGAGAUACAAGAAGCUGUUAUUAUUUUUUAAGAAGAGGGGAUAAUUCACUGUAAGCCUUUAUUCUCCCCCCAAAUAAGAAUUUUUAAGCUUAAUGUCAUUUGUAUGAUUUGGCAUGUAAAUGCACUCCAGAAUGUAGUGGUCUCCAUCCUUGUAGUGAGCUGCUGGCUCUGGGAAACUCUGUCCUUGAGUGCCCAGGUAGAGGGAGACAGGGGCAGUUCAGGACAGAGACACAGAGAACUGACCAGAGCAGCGGUGACUAGUGGUGAGUCAGUAAGAGUGACUAGCAAUGGCGAGAGGACAGUGGGGCUGUCAGAACACCGUGUGAGGCCUUGCCGGUUUAUAAAGAUCUUGAUUGCCUCCCACCUGCUACGAUAAAGGGGCUGUUCACCAAGGACAGGAGACUGGGAUUCUGUCUUGAGUCUGCAUAGACACAGAUGCUUCCCGGAGUGUUUGUUUUCUCUUUAGCUUUGUCCACAAACUCCAGACCGAAUGUGAGGCUUUAUCCUAGAUAAUGCAAUCUUGAAUUAAUACCACCUGUCCCACUUCAAGGUAGCUCCUACCUCUUAAUAUAUAGCCACCAAUGUCUGUUCCACCACACAGACUUGCAAAGGGAUAGUUCUUGGGAGAGUGCAGGUUCUCAAGGUAAAAUCUACCGUGUCCGGUUUUAUUGUCACUACACUGCCGCACUUAGCUGCUGUGGGUGGAGCUGUGUUGUCUGGUGCCUGAGGCGGCAACACCCCCUUCCCCAGCCCAUGCACAAAGCAAACAAGGACUACAUAACUUGGAGAAGCCAUUGAUGAAAAAGACAAGAUCGGGAAAGUCUCCAGGUGGUCAAACUGAGUGCACGGGAACUGAUCACAAGUGUUCACUUGGGUGCUUGAAAAGUGGCUUGCAGGCUGAGAGGAUUGGUUGCUCUUCCAGAGAACCCGGGGUUUAAUUCCCAGCACCCAUAUCAGGCUAACAACUGUCUAUGACUACUGUUCCAGGGGAAACUAUAUAUUGAUAUAUCACAUGUUGUAUAUAUUAGAAAUUAUAUUUAUCAUAUAUUAUUUUUACACAAUAUUAUUAUAUCAAGUAUAAUCAAUGUAUUAAUAAUGUUGUUAAUGGUAUUAUCAUAAUCACAUUAAUGGUCGAAAUGAUUAACUUUCUUUGAGACAGAGGGUCAUGUAUCCCAGGUUGGCUUUGAACUCAUGAUGCAGCCAAGAUGUCUCUAUAUAAAGACGUCUACAGCAUGGGCCUUUUUUUGGCGCACAGUGAUAUACAGACAAACAUGUGUUAUUGGGGGAGAAACUGGGCAGAGGAGCAUUUGACCGGCCCGCACGUUUAAACGGGGUGUAGCCACCUCUGUCUUAGGAUCGACCUCUAAAACCCCAGCCUUAUCUGUCAUAGGAUCACCUCGUCGCCCCCAAGGUUCCUGUCUUAGAUUGGUCAAGGGUCAGAGGAAGUUGCCCGUCCCUGAGGAUAGCUACAUCAGGUCAUCUUCUCAUUCCUCUCACUUGAGCCCAGGGGCGAAAGAGCAAGAGCCAGAUGGCAUUAAUAUAAGAGAUUGUGGAAAUUGAGCCUCUCCCGAUAAGUUGUAGGCACCUCAUCUUGUUCGUUGUCUCUCUGGUUCUCCUCAGCUGUUCCGGUCUCCAAGCGAUGAUAAUGUACUGAAACAGAAUUUCUAGGCAAAGCAGAAUCUAUUUGUGAUUUAAUAAAGCGUGUAAGUCGUUGGAAGGCCCAAGGACCAAAGGAAAUCAACAAAAGUAGGCCCACAAGGGAUCCCAAAAUUGAGGGCAACAAGGUAGAGAGCCAUGGGGAUGUAGAAAACCAGUUUUGGUACCAAGACUCUUGUUGUUUUCUCUCUCUCCUUCGUUUUUCUAGGCUAUCUCUCACCUUUUUUAGACUGUCUUCUACAAGUCCAGUCUUAUCUACAUAAACACAGCAUUCCUCUUUUAAGGCUGCACAAAGUCCUCCUUGUUGUAGGAAGAUUAAGUCUAGGCCUCUUCUAUUUUGUAAGACUACUUCAGACAACGAGGCAACUGAGUCUUUUAAGUUAGCUAAUCCAUCUCUUAAUUCAACAAUAUCCUUAUCUAUGGCUUCACUAAGCUGGUUAUAGUAUUGAUGGGAAGUAACGAGGGAAGCGAUGCCAGUGCCUGCACCCGUGGCCCCUAGACCUAGGAGAACGAGUCUCUGUGGCAUAUUCUGUUCUGAAAACCCUGAGGCCGACUCAGAGAAAGAGCAACAGGAGAGACAGAGGCACAGAGCCGGAGCAAACCGGCAGGGCAUACCCUUGAAAGAGUAAGCUGACCCCCUGGCUGUGUAAUGCACUUGAUUCUCCUGGGAAGAAUGAAAAAACCAGGAAACUGCUCCCUUCCACAUAAACCAGGGUUUCUGGAUCACAAAUCAUCGCUUCCUGAGUCCAAGGCGGGGUGCUUGUCAACAGGGGAAGGCCAUGAAGAAGAGCUCACCACAUUAACAUGGUUACCUCAUUUCCACUGACUGGACUACAAAGGCAUUUCAAGCUCAGUACUUCUAUUGGGCACCUCCUGAGUACUACACUUGGUCGUGUAGACACAGAAACGAGCAGGAGUCUGCUUGUCGCCCAGCAGCUUGUGACACUUAAUGAUAACUGCCCAGCGUGGAGGUUGGAGUGUGGGAAAAUACUUAUAAGACAUUGUAAUAAAUGCUUUAUAAUAAAUAAGUGGAUAUAUAAUAAACGACAUAUCAAGAGGGAUUAACAAGAUGCCUUGAAAGUGGAGAAGGAACUUCAGAUAAAAGAAGCACCCCAGGGAGGGGAGGCCUCGGAAGGAGGUAGGCACAAAUCAAAUACAAGGGACAGAAUGUGUUUGGAGAGCGUUACGUCAUUGCUGAGAUGGCUGGGAAGUUGGCUUGCAUAGCUUCUUUGGAAGUGUAGCAACCCAUCCCUUUGUGUUUUGGGAUUCAGAAGGAAGGGUGUGGAAGUGGUACACAGGAGAGGACUAUUGAAUGUGCACAAGACAACUGCAAAGGACAAAGUCAGGGGGCAGCAGUGACAAUCCAAUGUCAGACUGCACCGGAUUCGAAGAAUGCAUUUAUAAAAAUAUGUACUAACAAAUUAGUGCGGAAUGCACAUCUUCAGACUUGGUCUGCAUAUAGAGUUUAUCUAAAGACAACCAACUUCAGGGAUAGAGGGGACCAUGGAGUUUCUGGCUUGCUGGGGUAGGUUGCUGGGCAGCCCACAUGGCAGAUAAAGGGACACAUUGGUCAGCGAGUAUGCUUUUGGGACUCGUUGAGGUGAGGUAACUCUCAGGAUACCCGGGUGGAAGCGCCCAGAUGAUUCUAUAUAUAGGCAUUUGUUGCUAAGGAAACUUUUGGCUUAGUUCUCACAUCAGUCUGAGCUCCGGAGAGGGAUAAAAGAAUCCAGACAUAGUAGAGAAGGAGCCUAGGAGCCUGGGGGGAUUUCUUAUACCUGGUCUUUCUUCCAGCCUAUCAUCAGAAGUACAAGGAAGAGACUGGUGAGGGACCCGUGAGGUGAAGGGGAGGAAGGAGGAAGGUAUACACUAGGAGCUUAAGAGAUCAGAAUUUUCUGGUGACGGAUCCAGCUGCAGCAGACACUCUUGGCAAGUCGUGAAAAAUAAGGGGCUGGGAGAAUUUAUUGACAAUGGCACGGGAGACGGGACAAAGCACAGAUCAACUAUGAGUCAGGUAACUUCAGAGUGGAAAAGGUAUUGAUCUCUUCUCUAUGAAAAUAAGUCAUUCAUUUCAGUCUUCAAACGUAGGGAAUGUUUGCCCCUCAGAGCCAAAGGCUGACUCCACUCAAGUAACCAUUAUGAGAGUAAAUAUUACUGUUCAUCAUAAUUUCUAAGUAAGGAAUGUGAUAAACUCACUACAGAUAAUAACCCAGACCCCUUAACACACGCUUUCUUUGUGAUGAGUAAGCAGAAACCUAUCUUCUUUGUGUGUAAGAGUUGGAAGCUGGCUCAUUACCCUUGAACGAUGAGGCAGCCCUCUUUCCUGGUGGCUUAUCCUAAUCUAACCUUCAGGAAAAGUACAUUAUCAAGAGCCUCUCAAAGCAUCAUAGAAUUUGUUUUGGCUUUGUGUGCUGUGACAGAUACCUGAGAUGAUUAAUUUAUAAAGGCUUAUUUUGCUUCCUAGACUUGGAGGCUCUGGUCCAUGACUGGUCCGUGCCAUUUCUUUGGUCUUGUGGUAUAGUGAGGAAACAGAUACUUCUCAGCCUUCCUCCAGAAAGAGAAAGAGCGAAGUCUUAAAAGCCACCUAAGUACAGUCACCUCAAUGGCCUAAAGAAUUCCAGCUUCUGGCCUGCGUUGGGCAGUCCCAUCAUCUGCCGCAGCUGACACACAGAGGCCAAAGCCUUCACACACAGGCCUCUGAGGAGCAGUCAGGACCCAGUCUCCCUCCCAAUUCUGACUUUUUAUCUCUGUCUCUGGAAAGCCACACGGAUGUUAUAAAAUAUUAUGAAAUACAGUGGGCUACAGCACUGAGAAACACUGACUUAUUUAAAAAUUAAGUUAGGAACAGAUUUCCACAAAUUAAGGAAAUGCUAGAAAUUUAAGUACAAUUUUCAGUGGAGUUGAAAUAGUAAGUAGCUUCCUGUUGACCUGAGGUGAACCAGGAAGUGUUUUAUUAUACCUUGUCAUUUUCGUUAAUUUUAGGACGUUCUAGAUAUUUGCAAGACAAACUUUCUCUGUGUAGCCCUGGCUGUCUUGAAGCUCACUGUGUAGACCAGGCUGACCUCAAACUCAGAGAUCCGCCUGCCUCUGCCUCCCAAGUGCUGGGAUCACAAGCAUGUGCUACCACUCCAAGAUACUGUAAAUUUUAUACAAAAAAUUGCUCAGAAUUGAGGUUUUAUCCCAACAAGAGAAGUUGUAGUUGGUCAUAGAUCUGACCUUGGUAGAUAUAAAUGGAAGGAGCAUUUGUGCUUGAACAUAAAUUAUUCUCUGUACAUAGUCUCUGAUUUGCUUAGAAUUUUCUCAACCGUAUAUAAAACUGUGUUGUUGGACAUGCUUGGGAAGCCAGUGUGUGCUGUGGUUCAUAAACCUAAAGGGCAAACCCCACUGACAUUGUGUGGCAAACAGGCGGACACUGAGCUAUAUCUCCAGGCCCAUUUUCUCACUGUUCGUCUCGAUCAAGCCCUUCCUAUGUGAGCUUCCAUUUGCACGGUGGUUCCACUGAAAAACCUCUGUUGUCGGUGACAUAACCGUCACUUGCCAGAUCCUUUGGCAGUUGCCAUUCUUCAUCUUAUUCCUGUGACAUGGGUAACUGUCCCCUCCCUAAGGCAGCGGUUUCUGCCCCUGUCCAUUCCCUACCUUGCCUUGUGUUCUCUUGUCUUCCUAGACAGAACCUAUUGGCUUCAUUUCCUCUCAUUCCCUAACCAGUGUGUUCAACAAAAAUAUAGCAUGAUCCACACAUGUGAUGUCAAAUCUCCCACUGUUUGGAUUCCGUGUUGUCAGUAAAAGAAAACGGAUGACAUUAACAUUAAUAGCAUGUUUAAAUCAAUCUGAUAUGCCCCAAACAUUAAAAUUUCAAGAAAUAGUAAGCAUAAAUCAAUAUACCAGUAUGAUAAUAUAAAUUAUUUUCAAAUUAUACAUAUAGUUCUCAAAAUCCAGUGAGUCAUCUGCACUUUCAGAAGAGAUUAGCUUGGAUGAGCAUAGGUUCCCAUAGCCACUUGUAGCUGCCAUAUUGGAUAGCAUAGUUCUACAUGCUAGGAUGCUCCAGGACCCAGCCCCUACUCUGUCUGUAAGUCUUAUCUAAAUAACCUAGGUGAGCAUAAAUUUUCUAUAGACUGACUUAGUUAUUUGGUAAGUAUAUGUCAAACUAAUAUGUUCUAAAUACUAGUUGUCCGACAGUGAGCAAAAUAAAUGAAGACGUGAAUAAACAGAGUUCCUUCCCUGGUGGAGUCCAUUUCCUAGUAGGAAAGAAACAGACAAAAAGCAAGAAAUUAACAAGCAUGUUAAUUAUAUGACAUAACGGAACAUGCUGAGAGCUGAGGUAGGGGCGUGACAUUAGGGGAGCAAAAGAGGGAUUGAGUGAUGUAGGGCUUUUUGUGGAGCACUAAAGUGACUCUGGCUUUUACCUCUAAUGGCGAGCAGGAGAAACCCAUGGCUCGACUUAAGCUAUGAAGAUUGUUUGGGCUGUCGCACUGAGAAUACAGAGUAGCAGGUGGUGGGGUGGAUGUGGCCAGACAGCUGACUGCUGCUGUAAUCUGGGCUGAGAGAUGCUGAUGCUGGCUGUGGUGGUUCACCUCUACCUCUGUUGUCAACUUGAGCAGAUCUACAGCCCCCUAGCAAACAAACCUCUUGCUAUGUCUGUGAGGAAGCUUCUCCAAUACAGUUCAGUGAUGUGAGAAGACCCACACUAACUGUGGGAGGCAACAUUCUGAGGACAGGGGCCUGCACUCAAUAAAACGGAGAAAGGAGACCGAACAACAGUGUUCACUGCUUCUUGUUUCUUGACAGAAGAUGAAAAAAAAUGAAUGAAAAUAAAUAAAUUAAUAUAACCAAUACACAGACUCUCUGCCGUAAUGGGGUUCUGAGAUCAGCAACUGGCCCUGGCAGGAUGGACUCUCCUUUGGAACUGUAAGUCCAAAUAAACCCUUCCUCCUUAUGUUGCUUCUUGGCAGGCAUUGGUUCAUAGCCUUGAGAUAAGUAACAAAGCGAUGACCUUGACCCUGUUACCUGGCAACGCAGUAAGAGUCCUAAGAAGUUCUCUCACAGCACCUGGGAAUCAGCUUCACAUAUCCAGCCGGUUCAGGGACGUAGAACAAACGUCUUGCUGAUGGGUAGUCAUUUGACUUUUAAUUAAGUUAAGAUUCAGUUCUUCACAAACACUAUCUUAGCCCUGUUUCAAGUUGGUAGCCUCUGUCUUGGAUACCACAGACACAUACUGCUUGUCUUUCCAGAAUCGUUCUGAACAGCUCUGAUGUAGGCGGAACCGAGACUCCUGUAUUGCUCUCUAAUCAACUGCCUGCUGGGUGCCUCUACUCCAUUAGGUUUUGAUUGUGUCAAUCUACGUCUAACAAGAAUCUCGAGGAAGGCGGUCCAGAUGCCCGAUUUCAGUCUUUAAAGCUGUGGUCUCUGUUGCCCAUCAGGUUUGCUACCAUUUUGCUCAUUCCAUAAGUGGGAUCACUCUCCACUGUUGCCCCAUUGCUUAGGAAUCCUUCCUGCUUCCCACAUAGGGUCCCCACUGACCCUUGUCGCCUUUAAUCCAUUAGCAUAUGCACAUUCGCUUUCAUCUACAGGACCUCUGAGUAGCUUCUUUUCCAUCACUGGUGAAAGCUAUCACAUCUCGCACUUGGACCACUGGGACAGUUCCUAAAUGAGUAGUUUGAACCGUGACCUUACAUUGGAAUCACGUGGGAGUUAAUCACACAGACCUAUCUGCUCAAGGCUCACUUCACCACAGAAACAAUGUCCUGGCUCUGUUCCAUGCCUGCAGGUGGCGGUUGUCCCCGGAAAAGCUUUCUAUGUGAUUUCUCUGUGCCUCCAGGCCAGUGGGUGGACCAUUGUCACAAACUUCUCCUCUAAGCCCCAUUGUCUAGCUUCCUCUGCCCAGCUAGUGUGCCUUUUCUAAGUCAAAAAUCAGGUCUUCUUGCUUCAAAGGUUCAAAUGAUCUCUCCUUGUUCGGUGAGACUCUGAAACUUCCGACCUCCAAAGAUCUUGUCCUGCCUGUGUUCUUACCUAGCUGGCUUCUGCCCAUGUCACCUUAGAGAGGUGUCCUGUCCUUGUCAUAAAGGACUGUUUUCUCCUCUUGUUCGGACACCAACCACCCUCCUUUCUCAACUCCCUGCUUUGUUCUCUGUAUGGAAGCCAUUACUCUGCAAUGAUCUUGUUGAAGAAUUUUCAUGUAACAUACAAGGGCUGGACCCAGGCCUCCCUGAUCAUAUGUAGCAAAUGUGUAGCUUGACCUUCCUGUGGGUCCUGAACAACUGGAGUGGGGGCUGUCCCAAAACUAUUGCCUGUACAUGGGAUAUGCUCUUCUAGCUGGGCUGCCUUGUCUGGCCUUUUUGGGAGAGGAAGUGCCUAGCCUUGAAGAGCCCUUAAGUGCCAUGGUAUGGGAGGAUUCUCAGGGUGCCCCCACCUGCUCAGAAGAGAAGAUUCAGGUGAGGGGUGGGAUGAGGGAAGAAUGUGGGAGGAGCUGACCUGCAGCCCGGCAGUGAGCGGGAUGUCAAACAAAAUUAUUAAGUUAAAAAAAUGUUUUAUUGCUUUUCUCUUCUUACCUAUGACUAAGAUAUUAAUUCCAUGAGAACGCUUUCAUAAGUCAAAUCCUGAUGAUUUGUCCCAGAGCAACUUAGGAAUGAAGAAAGGCCAAAAAGACAGACACCAGACACACAGACACACAUACACACACAUACGUAGAGAAUCUGGGAUCAGAUGGGCCAUGCUCACUAUGACAGAGGGUUCUUAAUAACCGAAAGCAUCACAGUGUUUAAUGUGUGCAGCCUCAGGGCGGGGUCAGUUGGUCUCAGUAGGAGGUCUCUGUGGGGGAACAAUCCCAUGUUGCCAUCAUCAUGGAAGGGAAACUUUCGGUUGCUGUCCUUGCACACGCCGGCCAGUCCUUUGUUGACCCUUAUACUUGAAUCAGAAAAAAGGCUCUGCCAUCCCUCAGAGCCCCAUACCUGGAAGGCUUGCCCGCUCCCAGGAGUCUGAGGCAUUGACGUCUUGACUCAGCUGUACUCAUGCCAAUAAAUAUUCAUCCACUCCGGAUCUCUGCAACCCACAAUUGUGUUUAUUUUCCAACUGUUUACCUCCAGCCACUAGAAUAGGAUCUGACAACAGACCAAUAUACCCGGACGCCCUUUCUCGUGUUUAAGCUGAUAAUAGAAACGGCAGCACCAGUGGCUUAUGGUGUGCUUGCCACCUGUGCGACACGGCGUUUGCUUGCUCAAUCAUUUUGGGGGUCUCCUGAGAUGGGCACCCCACAUCCUCUUUACUCAUGACAGCACUGUCUGUAAAGCCUGUGAACUGGAACAUGACUGACCUACAAGGGGAGCCAGAGCUGGAACCGGAGUCUGUUCCAGGCCCAGGUCAGACCUUGAUAACAAAGCAAGCAUGGCUUGUGACCAUUUACUAAAGACUUGGGAAGCGAAGACAGGAAAUGACAACAGGUGCGUUUUAGAAACUCCCCAUGUCGGAUAGUUUUUGAGCAGCGUAGACAACUUUCCUUUCCAAGUGGGUCCACCUCUGGGGUCACUAAAGUGGCAUUCUUUUGGCCCUGUGAAGGACUUGAACGCCUUCCGCUUUGCCUCUGUGUUUUUUUCCCCCUUCUGUGCAGCAUGCAGUUUGGUCUAAAGAAUUCCAUCUCCAAGCAGCUACCAGGGCUACUUGUAGCCUCAAUGAUCUUCUUUGAGGAAAGGAAAAAAAAAAAAAAAGAAUCUCUGAACUUUGUAAUACAGUCCAGUGAUGCAUGAGAAACCUUUGUCAGAUCCAGGAGGAAAAGGAAAAUAAAAAUACUGUUCUCAUCUGGGGUGUAUCCCAGGACUGGACGGGAAUGCUAAUACUGACCACAGGGAAGUAAGUUUCCAAUCAAAGCACCCUUGAACUCCAUGAGAAAAGAGGUUGCAGUGAGCGAGAUCUAUGGGUGCCUUCUGGGAAUCUCUGAGCCACACAUAUCUCCUAGAAUCGAUUCCCCCAGACCUGCGGCAGAGAUCGGGUCUAAUGAAAACGCAGAGGAGCGCACAGGUUUUCUAGUGGGAGUUUUGGGCUUUUUUUCCCUACUUGUAACUAAGCCACUUCGCUCAGUGUUUUUGUUAAUGACUCCAAAUUUAAUGUGACUGGAUGUGCUUACAUUAGAAUUGACUGGAUGGGGGCUCGGGCACCCAUACGGAAGGUGGGCCAGGACACUAACAAAGAUGUGCUUCUCUUUUAUAGCAUGCAUGUAUACAUGCGUGCGUGUGUGUGUGUGUGGGGGGGUAUUCGAUGUAUAUAUGCACGCACAUACCCACAAACCCACACCCACAUGUAUACAGGCAAGCUUUCACACAUACAAGGACAUGUGUGUUUUGUGUUCACAGAUGUUCACUCAUGCAUGUGAACGACAUAUGUAUGUAUGUACAGAGAAGCUCACAAUCAUACUUACAUGCUCAAUACCCUUAUGCAUAUACCACACAUAAGAAUACUUACAUGGAAUAACUAUGUCCUCAAACAGCACACACAUAUCUGCAUAUAUACAUAUGUAUAUACAUAUACAUGUGUGCUUAUGUAUGUGAGCACACACCGACAGGAUACCCUUUGCCCUACAGACUACAAGGCUCAGGUGCACCAUAGUUGGGGCUUCUUGUAGCCAGCAACCUUUGGAAUGUGCCUUGAGACCUAGGGAUGCUGUCUGUCACCAGGGACGCCUCACUGCCGCUCCCACGUCCCCAGCAAGGAAGCAGGGCGCAUGCCCGCAUUCCUUUCCAGCAGGACCGGGUGCCUCUGCCAAGGGUCUAGGGGGCGGAGCAGUGCACAGCCCGAGCCCAGAUGGCAAAGCAGCCCCAAGCGGGGACAUUUUCUCAGGCUUUCAAAAAGAGCACUUUCUUUCCUGCCUAAUAUUUAACUCCUUCAAAUGCAAAUUGAGAGGUUGCGCUCCAAAGUUAGCAUGACAAUUAUGGGAAAGCUUUAAAUCUGAUGCGUUUGUUUACUCGGUGAAAGGCGGGCAGGACCCGGGAGCUCGGAGGCCCCGGCUUUUCAGCAACUAUUUUCUAACUAGUGAACUGCGAGUCAAUUUUCGACCACAAAGAAAACCAAUUUAUAUCACAGCGUAGGCUAAUUUUGGAGGGAGUUCCACGUUAUUUUCGUUUUCUUUUUAAAUGACCGCUGCAGAAAUAGGAAAGAAAAAUCUUCCUUGUUCUGAACUUUGGUGUAAGCUAAUUGGUAUUAACAAUAGACAAGAAGGGUUUUGCUGUUGUUCUUGUUCUUGUUUUUGUUUUUUGUUUUUGACAAAAUGAGAACCUGGAAUGGGACAAGAAGAGAUAGAGAAUUUUCUAGAGAUUUCAGUAAGGGUGAGUGCGGGAGAGGUUUUUGAUACGAAUACAUAAAAACAUGUCCAAUAAAAAAACCGCGCUUAAUUUUUCCUCAGCUUAAAGUUUAUCUUCCCAAACCUUUAAUGCACAGACAAGGGAAGUGAGAGUGGUCCAGGUGUCCCUGUGUGCUGUGUGAAGGGUCAGAGCCCCUGAGGCCUGUACCUGCAGGGAAAAACACCCCUCCCCCUCUCUGAGGAAGUCUCCCUCCCCCAUUUUCCUCUCUGGUCUCUUUGCUUUGUUUCAUAAAACAUUAUGAUCUACAAGUACAUACUCUAACAACAUUAUCCCAUUUAGAAGGGGAUUUACUGAUCAUGGGAAACAUGCCUUCAUUUUGGAAGACAGCCUGGAAAGGGUGGUCCUCCUAUUCUGUUUUUCUGAGGGUUGGGAUUAUACAG